UUGUCGNGUCUGNAGUGAAAAUCCGAGGCUCAACCUCGGACUUGCUGUGGGUACGGGCAGACUAGAGUAUGGUAGGGGAGACCGGAAUUCCUGGUGUAGNGGUGGAAUGCGCAGAUAUCAGGAGGAACACCGAUGGCGAAGGCAGGUCUCUGGGCCAUAACUGACGCUGAGAAGCGAAAGCAUGGGGAGCGAACAGGAUUAGAUACCCUGGUAGUCCAUGCCGUAAACGUUGGGCGCUAGGUGUGGGGCUCAUUCCACGAGCUCCGUGCCGCAGCUAACGCAUUAAGCGCCCCGCCUGGGGAGUACGGUCGCAAGGCUAAAACUCAAAGGAAUUGACGGGGGCCCGCACAAGC
rnacentral:rRNA from 1 species